UUUAAAGAGAGUUUGAUCCUGGCUCAGGACGAACGCUGGCGGCGUGCCUAAUACAUGCAAGUCGAACGAACGGAGGAAGAGCUUGCUCUUCCAAAGUUAGUGGCGGACGGGUGAGUAACACGUGGGCAACCUGCCUGUAAGUUGGGGAUAACUCCGGGAAACCGGGGCUAAUACCGAAUGAUAAAGUGUGGCGCAUGCCACGCUUUUGAAAGAUGGUUUCGGCUAUCGCUUACAGAUGGGCCCGCGGUGCAUUAGCUAGUUGGUAGGGUAAUGGCCUACCAAGGCAACGAUGCAUAGCCGACCUGAGAGGGUGAUCGGCCACACUGGGACUGAGACACGGCCCAGACUCCUACGGGAGGCAGCAGUAGGGAAUCUUCCGCAAUGGACGAAAGUCUGACGGAGCAACGCCGCGUGUAUGAAGAAGGUUUUCGGAUCGUAAAGUACUGUUGUUAGAGAAGAACAAGGAUAAGAGUAACUGCUUGUCCCUUGACGGUAUCUAACCAGAAAGCCACGGCUAACUACGUGCCAGCAGCCGCGGUAAUACGUAGGUGGCAAGCGUUGUCCGGAUUUAUUGGGCGUAAAGCGCGCGCAGGCGGUCUUUUAAGUCUGAUGUGAAAGCCCCCGGCUUAACCGGGGAGGGUCAUUGGAAACUGGAAGACUGGAGUGCAGAAGAGGAGAGUGGAAUUCCACGUGUAGCGGUGAAAUGCGUAGAUAUGUGGAGGAACACCAGUGGCGAAGGCGACUCUCUGGUCUGUAACUGACGCUGAGGCGCGAAAGCGUGGGGAGCAAACAGGAUUAGAUACCCUGGUAGUCCACGCCGUAAACGAUGAGUGCUAAGUGUUAGGGGGUUUCCGCCCCUUAGUGCUGCAGCUAACGCAUUAAGCACUCCGCCUGGGGAGUACGACCGCAAGGUUGAAACUCAAAGGAAUUGACGGGGGCCCGCACAAGCGGUGGAGCAUGUGGUUUAACGAAGCAACGCGAAGAACCUUACCAGGUCUUGACAUCCUUUGACCACUCUGGAGACAGAGCUUUCCCUUCGGGGACAAAGUGACAGGUGGUGCAUGGUUGUCGUCAGCUCGUGUCGUGAGAUGUUGGGUUAAGUCCCGCAACGAGCGCAACCCUUGAUUUUAGUUGCCAGCAUUUAGUUGGGCACUCUAAAGUGACUGCCGGUGCAAGCCGGAGGAAGGUGGGGAUGACGUCAAAUCAUCAUGCCCCUUAUGACCUGGGCUACACACGUGCUACAAUGGAUAGUACAAAGGGUCGCGAAGCCGCGAGGUGGAGCUAAUCCCAUAAAACUAUUCUCAGUUCGGAUUGUAGGCUGCAACUCGCCUACAUGAAGCCGGAAUCGCUAGUAAUCGUGGAUCAGCAUGCCACGGUGAAUACGUUCCCGGGCCUUGUACACACCGCCCGUCACACCACGAGAGUUUGUAACACCCGAAGUCGGUAGGGUAACCUUUAUGGAGCCAGCCGCCGAAGGUGGGACAGAUAAUUGGGGUGAAGUCGUAACAAGGUAGCCGUAUCGGAAGGUGCGGCUGGAUCACCUCCUUU
rnacentral:rRNA from 1 species